GACGAACGCUGGCGGCGUGCCUAAUACAUGCAAGUAGAACGCUGAAGGAGGAGCUUGCUUCUCUGGAUGAGUUGCGAACGGGUGAGUAACGCGUAGGUAACCUACCUGGUAGCGGGGGAUAACUAUUGGAAACGAUAGCUAAUACCGCAUAAGAGUAGAUGUUGCAUGACAUUUGCUUAAAAGGUGUAAUUGCAUCACUACCAGAUGGACCUGCGUUGUAUUAGCUAGUUGGUGGGGUAACGGCUUACCAAGGCGACGAUACAUAGCCGACCUGAGAGGGUGAUCGGCCACACUGGGACUGAGACACGGCCCAGACUCCUACGGGAGGCAGCAGUAGGGAAUCUUCGGCAAUGGACGGAAGUCUGACCGAGCAACGCCGCGUGAGUGAAGAAGGUUUUCGGAUCGUAAAGCUCUGUUGUAAGAGAAGAACGAGUGUGAGAGUGGAAAGUUCACACUGUGACGGUAUCUUACCAGAAAGGGACGGCUAACUACGUG
rnacentral:rRNA from 1 species